GAUUAAACAACAUCAAUCAGAUUGCAUGAAACAAUCCAACACAACUGCGCUUGCACAGCAUGCCAUGUCUGAGGGACAUCAGUUUGAUUUUGAUGACGCGAAAAUUCUGACCAGGGAGAACAAUUGGUUCAAACGUAAUUUCAAAGAGAUGCUCUUCAUCAAGAGACACCCGAAUUCAAUCAAUGCGCGGUCUGAUAUAGGUUCACUGAACAUCGUAUAUUCGAACCUGAUUAAAGAAAUAAAAUUAUAAUCUUCAUGACAUAUCACUUUCCAUCUGGUGCAGUUCUGUGUUACAUUCGAAUGGAUGAACCUGCGACCGAUACGUCAGAGAGUUUGUUUGGAUCCCCGAGAUGAAAGAAAAUUGUUAUUUUUAUUUUCUCCACGAAUUUGAAUUUCUUCAAAUGAUUCACAUCGUAAUUUCUUAUUCACAAGCCUGAGGAAGGGAAUAAAUUUCCCGAAACGUUGCUGCUGAAUAAAUUAUACAUAAAUA